rnacentral:rRNA from 1 species
AUAUGCCUUUAAGACYAAAGUCUGCAAGGGAAACAUUUAUGGCUCUAGGAUUGGCCUGUACGGUAUCAGCUAGUUGGUGAGGUAAUGGCUCACCAAGGCAAUGACACCUAACUGGUUUGAGAGGAUGAUCAGUCACACUGGAACUGAGACACGGUCCAGACUCCUACGGGAGGCAGCAGUGGGGAAUAUUGCACAAUGGACGAAAGUCUGAUGCAGCAACGCCGCGUGGAGGAUGACACAUUUCGGUGCGUAAACUCCUUUUAUAUAGGAAGAUAAUGACGGUACUAUAUGAAUAAGCACCGGCUAACUCCGUGCCAGCAGCCGCGGUAAUACGGAGGGUGCAAGCGUUACUCGGAAUUACUGGGCGUAAAGAGCGUGUAGGCGGGUAAAUAAGUUGGAAGUGAAAUCCUAUGGCUCAACCAUAGAACUGCUUCCAAAACUGUUAACCUAGAAUGUGGGAGAGGUAGAUGGAAUUUCUGGUGUAGGGGUAAAAUCCGUAGAUAUCAGAAGGAAUACCGAUUGCGAAGGCGAUCUACUGGAACAUUAUUGACGCUGAGACGCGAAAGCGUGGGGAGCAAACAGGAUUAGAUACCCUGGUAGUCCACGCCCUAAACGAUGUACACUAGUUGUUGUGAGGCUAGACCUUGCAGUAAUGCAGUUAACACAUUAAGUGUACCGCCUGGGGAGUACGGUCGCAAGAUUAAAACUCAAAGGAAUAGACGGGGACCCGCACAAGCGGUGGAGCAUGUGGUUUAAUUCGAAGAUACACGAAGAACCUUACCUGGUCUUGACAUAGUA